rnacentral:lncRNA from 1 species
CAGUUUUUAUCAAGUUUAUUGCACACUUCAUUCAUAACAAUACAACAAACUUUUUACAUCUUGUUCUUGUUCCCCAAAAAUAACAUAAAUUAAAUCACAACCUAUGUAUUCAUACUAGUGCAUACAACAACCAAUCGCAUACAUCCUAGACGUCAGGAUCAACUGACUUCAAUUAUCCAUUAUACAUUUCCUUUUUUUCAUAUUCUUUAUGCAUACUUCCAUUCAUCAUUUAAAACAAGAGUUAUCAUCUUCGCUAGCUAAGGAUCUAGUCCCCUCCUCUCUGGUGAGGCAAAGAUACGAUUUAGUCCCCUCUCCUCUGGUGAAGCAAAAAUACAAUUUAGUCCCCUCCCCCCUGGUGAGGCAAAGAUACGAUUUAGUCCCCUCCCCUCUGGUGAGGCAAAAAUACGAUUUAGUCCCCUCCCCUCUGGUGAGGCAAAGAUACGAUUUAGUCCCCUCCCCCCUGGUGAGGCAAAGAUACUAUUUAGUCGUGGUGAGGCAAAGAUACGAUUUAGUCCCCUCCCCUCUGGUGAGGCAAAAAUAUGAUUUAGUCCCCUCCCUUCUGGUGAGGCAAAGAUACGAUUUAGUCCCCUCCCCUCUGGUGAGGCAAAAAUAUGAUUUAGUCCCUCCCCUCUGGUGAGGCAAAGAUACGAUUUAGUCCCCUCCCCUCUAGUGAGGCAAAGAUACAAUUUAGUCCCCUCCCCCCUGGUGAGGCAAAGAUACGAUUUAGUCCCCUCCCCUCUGGUGAGGCAAAAAUACGAUUUAGUCCCCUCCCUUCUGGUGAGGCAAAGAUACGAUUUAGUCCCCUCCCCCCUGGUGAGGCAAAGAUACGAUUUAGUCCCCUCCCCUCUGGUGAGGCAAAGAUACGAUUUAGUCCCCUCCCCUCUGGUGAGGCAAAAAUAUGAUUUAGUCCUCUCCCCUCUGGUGAGGCAAAGAUACGAUUUAGUUCCUCUCCCCUCUGGUGAGGCAAAGAUACGAUUUAGUCCCCUCCCCUCUGGUGAGGCAAAAAUAUGAUUUAGUCCCCUCCCCCCUGGUGAGGCAAAGAUACAAAUCAGUCCAUUCCUCUCAGGUGACACAAUGAUAACGAUCUAGUCUCAUUUUGUCUAGCUAGGCAAAAGUUAAGAUCCAUUACUCUCCACUCUGGCGAGGCAAAGAUUAAGAUCAAUACCCUCCUCUCUGGUAAGGCAAGGAGACAAAUUGAUCGUAAUCCUAAACUAGCGAAGAUGAAGAGUUAUAUACAGUUAUCAUUUAAAUUACACACACAAAUUUAUCAAUAGAUUUCGAAAAAUGUUAGAAGUUUGUAUCCAAUAUAAAAAACAUUGUUAAGUGUAUUUAAACUACUUUUUUUAUACUGAUGUAUUUUGUAAGAAAGUGAGGGCAAUGCAAUGUUAAUGAAAAAUAGUUAAACUUUCCAAUAUGAAAACUGUAAUUUCAGAAAUUUUUCAGAUGUUUUUCAUUGUUAUAAAAAUUACAGCAGGGAUAGGUUUUGACAAAAUUAGAACUGACAUUUUUUAUUUGUUUUUGGCAUUUUGUUGAAACUGCAUGAAUUAAUCUUAAAUUUUGUUCCUUGUCCAACAACUACAAAAGUAAUGCACUGCUUUUUUUUAUCUUUAAUUUACAGUUAAAAAUAGAUUUGAGGUAUAACCUCAAUUCAUGCAACAAUGGGUGUAUAGAAAAUGUUCAUAUUCGCCUAAUUUUUUGCAUUUAGCUUUUCAUAUGUUUAUAAAAUCAUGCAUUAUUUAAUGCACUUAUCUAAAUCUAUAGACACUUAACAUUAAAUAUAUAUAAAAAGAACACUUCAUACUUCAGAGGCCAACAUAAAAAGACCUAAUUUUGACUUAGAUUGAACUAAAGUUUGUUUUUGUUUUAAUUUAAAAAUACAUUACAAGUGUAAAGUGUAUUAUGUAAAUAUCUACAAACUAAGGUCAUGUAUGUUACAAUUCAGUAUGAUAUAUACAUAAUUACAUGUAUCUUAUCAUUAUGUUCACAUGCUGACAAUAAUCAUUAGUAGACAUUUAAAGAUUUUACAAAUAAAAAGUAAUACCUGUUACCAAAGACGAUACACAAAAUAACUAUACAAUUUUCUAUUUUUUACAUAUGGCACGUAAAAAAGGCAAGUCUUAUUUUGGCUAAAAAACAUACACCAGUUCUACACUACUUGAAAUGAAAAAUCAGAGAAAAAUAAAUUUAUUGAUACUAAAUGUUGUAAUUUAUGUGUACAUUACAGCUGAAUAAAUAAAUUUGGUGUAUUUACUGUCUUCUGAUUGGUUAAAAUUAUUAGUUUUAUUUUCAAUGUUGUCAAUUUUGAUGGCGACACGCCCACUCUGACGUUGAGUAUUCAUACGCCAACAUGUGUGUACGUUGUUUUUG